GAUCCUGGCUCAGGAUGAACGCUAGCUACAGGCUUAACACAUGCAAGUCGAGGGGAAACGACAUCGAAAGCUUGCUUUUGAUGGGCGUCGACCGGCGCACGGGUGAGUAACGCGUAUCCAACCUGCCCAUCACUUGGGAAUAACCUUGCGAAAGUAAGACUAAUGCCCAAUGAUAUCCCACGAAGGCAUCCGAAUGGGAUUAAAGAUUUAUCGGUGAGAGNGGGAGGGUGCGUCCGUUCGUAGUUAAGUUACG
rnacentral:rRNA from 1 species